AGGACCUUUUAUACUUGACAAAAAGAGUGAAGGUCAUGAUGCCUAAUGAUGAUGUCACUGAAAACUCUCAUGGACUACCUGAUGAACAACUUUCCUUACAUUGACAAGAUUCAAGUUUGCACUUUAAAGGCUCCACCAAGGGACGACUGACACUGAAGCAGACGCGCACGGUCAAAUAUCAGAUGGAGCUCAGUGAGUCUCACUGAAGAACUGAAGGAAGGACUGAGAGAGGUUCUUCUUGAAAUUGUUUGAAGAAGUGAAAACUGGUAUGUGUUUAUUUGUUCACAUUCAUAAAGAUGGCCAUUGCUCUAGUGAUGGACAGAUGGCACAACUUUUAAGAGGCAAACUGACUUUCUUCCCAAAGAAAUAAAUCUUCAACUUCAUGGAGGCAGUUUCAUUCUUAGGUACAAAUGUUUAAAAUCCCCUGAGAAUGCUUCCUACAGCUAUCAUUUCCUGUAUAUUGUAAUAUCCUAGGAAAUGGGUUUUCUCUUUGCAUUUUGUUUCAAGUAUUAAGAUCUACAAGAAAGUUUUGAUUGCAUGUACCAUUUGGAGAUGUUGUCUUUUUUUCUUUCCUAUAGAUGGAUUCUGGGUUGUAGACUCUCAGGCAUUUUAUGAUCCAUCUCUCACAAUAGGGGCUGCAAAUGAGAUGACUCUUCAUCAGGAAUAAAGGAAAGAAGACAGGUAAAGUAAUAGAGAUCUCCCUGAUGUAUUUAUCGCCUCUGAGUAUGACUGUUGUCAUCAACCUGUAUAUAUAAAAUUUAACUUUGAAACAAAGUACACUCCCAUGAGUUUAAGCCUUUGUACUUUUCAUUGUGUAAAUA